ACGAGACGUUGCCCCUCGGGGUACACCUCCCACCCUGUGUUUACCAUACCUAUGUUGCUUUGGCAGGCCCGUCCUCGGGACCGCCGGCUCCGGCCGGUCAGCGCCUGCCAGGGGACCUAAACUCUGUCUGUCUAUGCCGUCUGAGUACUAUACAAUAGUUA
rnacentral:misc_RNA from 1 species